GAUGAACGCUAGCGGCAGGCCUAACACAUGCAAGUCGAGGGGUAACUAAAGUGAUAGCAAUAUUACUUUGGCUAGACCGGCGCACGGGUGCGUAACACGUAUGCAACCUACCUUAUACUGGGGAAUAACUUCGAGAAAUCGGCGCUAAUACCCCAUAACAUUGCGAAGAGGCAUCUCUUUGCAAUUAAAGCUCCGGCGGUAUAAGAUGGGCAUGCGUCCAAUUAGCCAGUUGGUGAGGUAACGGCUCACCAAGGCUACGAUUGGUAGGGGUUCUGAGAGGAUGAUCCCCCACACUGGUACUGAGACACGGACCAGACUCCUACGGGAGGCAGCAGUGAGGAAUAUUGCGCAAUGGACGAAAGUCUGACGCAGCCAUGCCGCGUGCAGGAUGACGGCCCUAUGGGUUGUAAACUGCUUUUGUACGGGAAUAAACCCUUCUACGUGUAGGAGGCUGAAGGUACCGUAAGAAUAAGCACCGGCUAGCUCCGUGCCAGCCGCCGCCGUAAAAC
rnacentral:rRNA from 1 species